GCACAGCUGGACAUACAGUCUUCGACUUCCACAUUUCUGUCAGCGGCCGGGUCCUGGAAUCACCAAAUGGAGAGGACGUCUUUAUUCCAGGAGCAUUCUUCCAAGUACUCUACUUAGAGAAGCCAGCUAGUAAAGCACUUGCGUAUGUGCUUAAUUCAACAGAAUUGCUGUUCAGCUUAAAGAUAUAAUUGAAGUAAAAGGCACAGCAUCAGAAGAAGUGAGUGCUGGAGGAUGGGACUACAUUCAGAAAGCACUAAUUCUUGUAAGCUGGAAGCAUAAUCAAUAACCAUAUAGCAGAAUGGAGAGUCACCAGUAUGGUAUUGCCCUUUGGAAAUCUGCUGUUGCAAAAAUAGGUGUGGUGACUAUCAUGUUCAGGACAACCAGAUAAUGGGCAAUUAUAGCCAAAUUCCUUCAAUUUUCCCUGUAAUUAGAGUAAUUAUAUACCCAACAUGCCUAUAUCCCAAGCUGUGAGCAUGCUAGAAAAAGUAAUUUGUUUUCAUGAAAAUCUUAUUAAGCUGCAUCAUCAGUAUUAAUCUUUCCUUGUUAAAAACUUUGUUAUUUCCAAUAAUUGAAGUCCAAUGUAUUGUGCUUUUUGUAUUGCAAAAUCCAUCUGUAUUUUCCCUCAGGGCAAAAGGUCUGAAGCAGCUGUUAAUGGAGAAAGGUCUAACAGUAUAAAUCAUUUGAAUUUCUCUUCAGUUUGAUUCUAAGUAACAGCUGCUUUAGUCUACUUCACAGCACAUUAUGUUUGUAAAACAAUGCAAAUUGGGCUGUGUUUCAGUGAUUGUCCUGUUUGUCUGGUGAGUGUUAAUUCAACAUAGUGCUGCAUUUUACUGUCCUAUUUAUAAAGAACAACUGAUUCCUAUCCUGGGAAUUCUCUGUCUGGAUGUUUUCCACCUUUUGAAGUAUAAUAAGAGAUUGACUUCAGUUGGAGUUGAAGUUAUUUUCUUCCCAUGGAAACACAC